rnacentral:rRNA from 1 species
UACGUAGGUGGCAAGCGUUGUCCGGAUUUACUGGGCGUAAAGAGCGCGCAGGCGGUCGGAUAAGUCGAAUGUGAAAGCCCCCGGCUUAACUGGGGAGGGUCAUUCGAUACUGUUCGACUCGAAGGCAGGAGAGGGAAGUGGAAUUCCCGGUGUAGUGGUGAAAUGCGUAGAUAUCGGGAGGAACACCAGUGGCGAAGGCGACUUCCUGGCCUGUUCUUGACGCUGAGGCGCGAAAGCUAGGGGAGCAAACAGG